GCGCUGGUAGUGUAGCGGUCAACACGCGGUCGUUUCCACGGCCGCAACCCAGUGUUCAAAUCCUGGCCAGCGCA
rfam:Halobacteriaceae archaeon SB9 contig_35, whole genome shotgun sequence.